AUACGUAGGUGGCAAGCGUUGUCCGGAAUUAUUGGGCGUAAAGCGCGCGCAGGUGGUUCCUUAAGUCUGAUGUGAAAGCCCCCGGCUCAACCGGGGAGGGUCAUUGGAAACUGGGGAACUUGAGUGCAGAAGAGGAUAGUGGAAUUCCAAGUGUAGCGGUGAAAUGCGUAGAGAUUUGGAGGAACACCAGUGGCGAAGGCGACGGUCUGGUCUGUAACUGACACUGAGGCGCGAAAGCGUGGGGAGCAAACAGGAUUAGAUACCCUGGUAGUCCACGCCGUAAACGAUGAGUGCUAAGUGUUGGGGGGUUUCCGCCCCUCAGUGCAGCAGCUAACGCAUUAAGCACUCCGCCUGGGGAGUACGGUCGCAAGACUGAAACUCAAAUGAAUUGGCGGGG
rnacentral:rRNA from 1 species